rnacentral:rRNA from 1 species
GAUGAACGCUGGCGGCGUGCCUAACACAUGCAAGUCGAACGGAGCUGCUUUGAUGAAGUUUUCGGAUGGAUUUAAAACAGCUUAGUGGCGGACGGGUGAGUAACGCGUGGGUAACCUGCCUCACACUGGGGGAUAACAGUUAGAAAUAGCUGCUAAUACCGCAUAAGCGCACAGUUCCGCAUGGAACAGUGUGAAAAACUCCGGUGGUGUGAGAUGGACCCGCGUCUGAUUAGCCAGUUGGCGGGGUAACGGCCCACCAAAGCGACGAUCAGUAGCCGGCCUGAGAGGGUGAACGGCCACAUUGGGACUGAGACACGGCCCAAACUCCUACGGGAGGCAGCAGUGGGGAAUAUUGCACAAUGGGGGAAACCCUGAUGCAGCGACGCCGCGUGAGUGAAGAAGUAUUUCGGUAUGUAAGGCUCUAUCAGCAGGGAAGAAAGUGACGGUACCUGAAUAAGAAGCCCCGGCUAACUACGUGCCAGCAGCCGCCGUAA